GUGCUAGUUGCCACAAACUUAAGCACUGCACGUUUAAAUCCUCCUUUACCUUUUGACUCAUAGGGUACUUUCAGGGUUUCUCUAUUGGCAAACGCCUCCACAACCAUAGACCCUUCACACGCAUUGUUAGCAUCUCCCACUGUAAAGAAAAGUUGAUACGUCUUCCCAACAAUUGUUCUAGCCACUUGGGCUAUUGCACUCUCUUUACCUGCUACAAGUUCGACUGCCCGUCGACCUUGUGGCACUGAAAAAUGGUUAGCAUCAAUGUACUUGACCGCUUUUAGUGACUCAACCAUCCAAGCCGGAAGUGGAGAGUGGUCAUCUUCUAUGUUUGGUGGUACUAACACACCCCAUGUAGUGUUUGGGAAUAUAUAGGGGCCUUCUUCGAAUCCUCCGUUUUUCAAUAUAUUAUCUGCAUCAAAUUGACUCGUAUAAGCAAAAUGUACAUUCAUUUAAGAAGUUGUUAUCACCUUAUNNNNNNNNNNNNNNNNNNNNNNNNNNNNNNNNNNNNNNUAUAUAUAUAUAUAUAUAGUUUAGAUAAUAAUAUGUGAUGUUAUGGAAAUGGGACAUCAUUUAAUGAGAAACACAUGGAUGAGGUGCCAAUUUUGCAUCCACAAGACCUCAUGCAUCAAUGCCACCAAGUACUUGGAUUUUGUGUAGCAAAAGUGCAUUAAAGUGCUAGAUUUUGUAAUCGAACUAUUAUGACAACUUGCAUACAAAAAGGGCCAUUAUUUAAUAAUUCAAAGCGAAGUGGUCCUCUUUCUAGAUGUUGAUUUACUAAAACUCUCAUAAUAUACAACUGUUAUGAUGUUAUGAUGUUACGAUGAUAUACAGUUGUAGCCUAUAAUCUCUAGGAUAUUUUCGCCAUGAACAUCUUAAAUAAUAAAAACCCUAAAAAGAAUGCAAUUAUACAAUUUCAAAUAAUGAAAGAUUUUUAAAAAGCCAAUAACUUAAUAUGAGUUUUUCAAUAAAAUGUCUAUAAGUGGCUNNNNNNNNNNNNNNNNNNNNNNNNNNNNNNNNNNNNNNNNNNNNNNNNNNNNNNNNNNNNNNNNNNNNNNNNNNNNNNNNNNNNNNNNNNNNAACCACAAUAUAUAUAUAUAUAUAUAUAUAAAAUCAUAUUCAAUUUCUUAAAUAAUUUUAUAAUCCUACCUAAUAAAUGAAAAUAAUUUUGCUACAUGUCACCCUCUCAUUAACUUGGACACAUGUUAUUUUUUGGUAUUUUUGAUUAAAUGUUUUUUUCAUUUGUCAUUUUCUUAUUUUUUAUCUUUUCUUAAUUAACACAUCAUAUUUACACCUCAAUUAAUAAUUACCUUAAAUGAAAAUAACCAAUAAAUUAUAAUAUUACUACUCAUAUAAUAUUUAAUAUGAUUCAUUUUAAAUUCAAAUUUUUAAUAGAUUUGAAAUUUAAAUAAAUUUUUGUUUAAACUUUGAUAUUUAAUUUUUUGUUUUAUCGAAUCCGUAUACAUACGGGUCUCACACCUAAUGCUUAACAUUUUACAAACUAUAAAGGUAAAUUAUAUAUGGUAAGUUAACACUUUAUAAAAAAUUUAUAACUUAUUAACUAAUAAUAUUUAUAUUAAUUUAAUUCGGACCCGACCCACCAAAUAAAUUUUGACAGGUCCCAUAAUCGCUACUUAACCAGCUUAGACCGAGCGUUAGUAUUGAAUUAGGACCUUUUUAUACUACUUUCACUGUUAACCGAAUCAUUCUUUUUUUAGUCUGUUCUAAUAGUUAUAUCUAGAAAUCGAGUUACCUUUUGAUGGUUUAGGAGGAUACAAAGCUUUGAUAGCAAUGGAAUCAAUAAGCGGGCCACAUGCUGGAUCCUCCUCGACUCCUGGAUUAUGUAGCUUAAUAGUAACUUGAUUGUACUCAGCCUGAAAAGCCCAUGCAUAUGAAUCCCAUCCGCUACUACUAUACAAUGUUUGCAUCGGUAGCACCCCAAAAUCGGGUGCUACCGACACAUUUAGUGUCUCUUCUUGAGCACACGUUCGAGCAGCACUAAACGUGAUGGAAUAAUACAUUCCUUUUGUCACGUUUAUUGUUUGCUCGAUUGUUGCUUCAUUUCCUAGCCUAACUGCAUAGGCUCCCUCGGGGACAACUAGCAACAUGUCCCCUUGUUUUUGGCCUGAUUUGAUGUACUCAACGAAUCCAAAGAUUGUCCACCCUGGGAUGGCAUCGUGCUUUAGCACCUCCGUGCCUUUCAUAUCUGCAGGUUUCGGUCCAAGCUCGAAAUUUCCAUUCCAUAACAACCCUGUAAAAAAAUUACAAGCAAAAGAAGAAUCAUGCAUUGUGUCUUUUUUGUUUCACAUAUUGAUAUAAUAAACAAGUUACAAUCAGAUGCAACAAAAUUUCACCCUUUUUUUUCUAACGUGCUUCAUAAGAAAUAUGCAAUGAUGCUUCCUUUUAACACCAAAAGGUAGAAUAUCUUACAACAUAACAUAUAUUAUUUGUUGAAACAUGAUUGCAUAAUUUGUGUUAGUUGUGUAACCGGUGAAAAACAAAACAUUGUUAUAUAUGAUAAAAAGAUGGAAACUGUUUCAUAAAUUUGUUACGAUGAUGAAACAUAUAAAUAAACAUUUAUAAAAUGAAACGUGGUUGAAUAUUUUAAUUUUGUUUUGCUUUCAAAAUAAACAUUUAUAGGAGUCAAGCGGUUAAGGUGCCUCCACACAUGAAGUCUAAGAGUUUGAACUUUGACACUUUAAAAGUCUUAUUAAUGUUUUGCGCUUCACCUUUUACAUGGAUCGCCUAGGACGAGUUAUCAUACGUUGUUCAAAUGAUGUGAUUUACUAAUUAAAAUAAAAUAAUAUUACAAAAUUGUCUAAAAACUAUUUUAAAAAAAAUGUAAAGUAUUGCUUAACAAAGUCCUAUUCAACCACAUUAAAUAUAGAAGAUUUUAUUGUUUGUUUAAAUAGGAAAAAAUUAAAUUCCAUCAGAUCGACGUCCAUCAAGUUUCAUUCUAAUUCUAGACAGAGUGUCGUGAACAUGUGCCCACCCACGUGCAUAUGCAGACUGUUCAUCUAAAACCAUCUGUGUUGAUUGUACAAUUACUUAAAGGCCAAAUAAAUUAUAUAUAUCGACAAAAUAGAUAUUUCUCACUUGGAUAAAAGAUACACUCGUAUAUUUAAAUUUUAUUUAUUUAUCCUUAACUGAAAUAUACAUAUUAUAUUAACAUUAAUUAACAUGUUCCUUGAGUUUUUAACUUUGUUUCAUUUUCAUGUCACAUAUUAAUAACUUAUUUGAAUUAGUUUAUUAAAUUUUAUAAAUAUAAAAUUCAUAUUAUAUAUUGUAUAAGUAUAACUAUUAUGUGAAAAUUAAACUGUAAUUGAUUCGUACACAACAGUUAAAUUUAUACUAUAUAUUCGUACACAACAAUUCUUUUUUAUACAAAACAAUUUAUAUUUCAAAAUAUCGUAUUAUACAACUUUAUAAAACAUAAAUUGUUGUGAAUGGAAAAAAACUUAUUUUGUUCUAAUCCUUUCUUAUACAAAAUAUUGUUAGAAACUUGAUUUGCUAUCUCCCAAAUAUUGUUAUAAAACUUGUAUUUUUUAUACUUUGAAAAUGUAAUACCAAUGCUUGUUCCAUAACUAAUAACUCGGUCAAAAAAAUAUAUUGUACCAUAAACUAGUUAUUGUAUUUGUUAAAGUGCAUAAAAAAAUAUUAAAAUAUGAUUAGAACGAAAUUAGAAUUGUAAUAGUUAGCUGGUAAGAUGAAGAAGCAGAUAUUUUAAUUCUUAUGAAGUAAUAAAGUAUCAUGAGAAAUGGAGGUGAGAGGAUUGUGGGUUACCGUCGGAGACUACAGCGGCGGUGUGGACGGUGGCGCAUAGCAGCAACACCGACAGCACGGUGGCUGCUUCAAUUAUUGAAACCCUGUGCAUUUGGAGAGAAGGAAUGAGAGAGAAAGAGAGUGGGAUAAAGUUGUUUUGGAGUGGAA
rnacentral:lncRNA from 1 species